rnacentral:rRNA from 1 species
CACGUAGGGUGCGAGCGUUGUCCGGAAUUAUUGGGCGUAAAGAGCUCGUAGGCGGCUUGUCGCGUCGGAUGUGAAAGCCCGGGGCUUAACCCCGGGUCUGCAUUCGAUACGGGCAGGCUAGAGUUCGGUAGGGGAGAUCGGAAUUCCUGGUGUAGCGGUGAAAUGCGCAGAUAUCAGGAGGAACACCGGUGGCGAAGGCGGAUCUCUGGGCCGAUACUGACGCUGAGGAGCGAAAGCGUGGGGAGCGAACAGG